ACCAUGGAUCUUGUCAGCAUGAGCAUGGAUCUUGUCAGGAAAGAAUCUCAAACAAGUCCUCCUAGCACUCCCGGUAAAUCCCUCAGGAAGGGAGUAGCGGUGAUACGGGGAGUGCAAAUGGCUCUGGCAUGGAGGAGGUUAGGUCUUCUACAACCAGAACUCGGAGAGGAGGAAAUGGAGCGACGAGUGUCAUGCUGGAACUCGCUCAGUCUGGAGUCAGCAAUGAAUAUCUACAAACCUGGAGAUCCUUAUGACCCAUCAGGCAGCAAGCGUCGUCGGCCUAACACGACUAUAGAAAAACUGCCAGAUAAAGUCUUGCUGCAUAUAUUCUCGUACUUAAGUCACCGAGAGAUCUGUCGCCUGGCUCGGGUGUGCAAGAAGUGGCGAAUGAUUGCUUACGACACGAGGCUGUGGAAGAACGUCUCUCUACGGCCGGAGAUCUCUGGGCUACAUGUCGGCUCCCUGGAAUCACUACUCGCACUCAUCAGUAUUCGGUUUGGACCGUCCCUGCGCUACAUUGAGCUGCCUAUUGAGCUUAUCACUCACACAGUGUUGCAUGAGCUGGCCAACAAGUGCCCCAACCUUACUCAUAUGUUACUUGACUUCUCCACAGCCAUGCAACUGCACGACUUUAGCGAAAUGCAGGCAUUUCCCACCAAGUUGCGGUACUUGUGUAUCUGCCUGUCUGAGGUCAUCUUCAUGGAAGGUUUCAUGAGAAAAAUAUACAAUUUUAUAAAUGGACUUGAAAUUUUACAUCUAAUAGGCACUUAUGAGAAAGUAGAGGAAGAGGAAGAGGAGAUUUAUGAAGUUAUCAAUGUUCACAAGCUGAAGUCAGCCACACCAAACCUCCGUGUGAUCAACCUCUACGGCAUAAACUUUAUUGAUGACAGCCACAUAGACGCUUUCAGUUCUAACUGCAUACAGCUCGAGUGUUUGGCUGUCAACUACUGCAACAAAGUGACAGGUUCCACAAUGAAGACCUUGUUCCAGAGGAGCAGAAGACUCAAAUGUCUUCUCAUGAAUCAGACCAAUCUGAAGAGUGAGUUUGUGAUGCAAGUAGAGUGGGAGAAAUCCUCAGUCCAGGAGCUCGACAUCACAGCCACGGACCUCAGCACUGAGUGUCUCAUAGACAUGCUCACCCGCAUCCCCUCCCUGCGCUUCCUCAGUGCCGGGCAGAUCAACGGCUUCAACGACUCGGUACUAAAAGCGUUUAUGGAGCAGGGGAAUCCCAAAAACCUGAUAUCUCUAGACUUGGACAGUUCUGACAACCUGACUGACGACGGACUUCAUCGCUUCCUCUCCCGCUACGGACAUCAGUUGCAAGGCCUCAGUCUCUCAGGCAUGAGUCACAUCACAGACCAGUUGUGGCAGUCAGUACUGCCAAUCCUCAACAACUCCCAGAUCAUCAUCAUGGGCACAUCAGAGCGGCUGGGUGUCAACAUUCAUGUAGAUCAGUUGAUGGAUGGCAUUGCCAACAACUGCCCCAACCUGGAACGUCUUGAGCUCAAGUGGGAUCCAGAGAAUCUCCGUUUCUCAGACAAGAGUCAGAAGGCCAUUGACAUACUUCGUGUCAAGUGCCUCAAACUCCGCUGCCUAACUCUCAGUGAUGGCAGGUACUAUGAGAUUGUGAAGGCCAACUUUGAGCGAGCAGAUCGCACCACAGUAGUCAGAACUACCACCAGUUGUAGAGUAUCUACUUACUACUUACUUUCCAACUACAAAGACCUUAUAUUCAACUAAUUACCGAUCAAAUCUCUGAACCAACUUGAUGUGGAUGUAACAAUAAGUCUGGAUUCUAUUUGAAUUUCAAAAAAGACUUUGUUGUGGCAUUCAAAAUAAUCUAAUUGAUGAGAGGAAUUCCUUGUUUUCCAAGGUUUAAUGUGUAAUAAAAAACUUUAAAAAAUUGUAUGUGAAAAGUUGGAAUAUUAACUUUUAGCAUAAUAGGAUGGUUUGUAAAAGUUAUAAAAACUGUAUCCAGAUAAGAAUUAAAAUAUUUUUUACCAAAGUUUCUAAUGAAACUAUUCUUUAUUCUUUAAAUAAAUAAACGCUCCUUUAACACUAUACGUAUGGUAAAUUCUUUUAGUUGUAUUAAGAAGCGCAAGAGAGAUUUCACACUACCUACACGUUUUACAGCGAUGGCAGAAAACUUUGCCAUCUUGCAGCUCUCCACUACCACUGAACCAGGCAGUUGUUGCACUGUGAUGCAUGUACUCACGCAGGUUUUAUUGUUGAACAGGAGCUUACCGGCCAAAGAAAAUAGAUCAGCUGUUGCACUGUUAAUUGUUUAAUCUGGCUUGUCAAUUGACACAGUCUAUGUUCAUUAUGAAGUUUGAAACACAAUGAGAAAGAACUUAGCUGUAUGGUUUUCAUCAGCCAGCAAAAACCAUAAUAGUGUGAGAGGAGCGUAACGGUGUAUGUUCUCAGUGGUAAUACAAUUUUUUAUUCUAGUAUUCAUUUUAUACUCUUACUCAAUGUUAUUACUAAUAUUGUUUGCAUUUUUCUGUCUGACAAUACUGACUGUUAUCAUUACAAUCGUUACAAAGACAAAAAGUAUUACUUUUAAUUUUAUCAUUGUUAUUUUAUGGUUUUUGUUUUUGGUUUUUACAUCAAGAAACUUUAUUUGUUUAUCCCCCUCCUCUUAUCUAUUUGCAAAUUUAUCAAUUUCUUAUAGACUUGUAUAAGCCAUGUAAUUUUAUAUCAGAAGUGCCUUAUAUAACAGUUAUAACAGUGCCUUAUACAACAGUUAUAACAGUACAUUUAUAACAGUUAAGACACUAAAAUAACUGAAUGAAUUUUAAAUUGCAGGAUGAUAGAACUUUUUUCGUAGGUAUGUAAAUCUAUUUAAAAAUUCUGUUGGGCCAAUAAAUAUUGAAUUUGAAUAAUUCAUUGUUUUAAACCUUGAAUUAUAUGUUACACUGCCAUAUUUCCAGAACUCUUUUACUACAAAUGUUUAAAAUAUAAAUGUGCUGCAAUUUUAAACUUUAAAUUUUGUUAGUCUUUUUGUUAUGUUGCCGGUAUGUUUGUGAUAGUCUACUUCUGUAAAUAUUUUUUUAAAUGAGAUUUGCUUUAUUUGCUUGGAGUUUUAGGACGAGUUUGUAAUUCAGCUUAUUUGUGUUGGUACCUCUGAGUUUUAGAGUGACCACUCUAUGUUGAAAAGCUUUAAGUGACAAGCCUUAAAAGGUUUUAGGAAGCAUUUUAUGUUACAUAAGUUACAAAAUAGACCAUUUUUCUCAAAUAUGUAGCUUUGUAGGUAUUUUGUUUUAUACUUAUUUGUCAAAUGAAUUCCUAACUUCGGCAUUUGGAAAUUAUCAAAAUCAUUACAAGAAAAAAUGUGUCAUGAACUAAAUUGCAUGAAUUAUGAUCGUGUUCAAUUUAAAUUUUUUUUUAUCAAUUUACUCUUUUUAUAAUUGUUAUAAAUUUGAGUAGCAUAAUUGUCUAUUGUGAUACUGUAGCUAUAAUUUUUAAAUUUCUUGUAAGCCUAUAUAGAUUUAUAUGUAUUUUCCAAAAAUAUUGGAAGUAACUAUAUGGUCAAACAGGCAUUAAAAUUUAAAAUGUUCAUAACUGUUUUUUAAAAUAAAAUAUUGUUAAAUGAC